rnacentral:rRNA from 1 species
AGAGUUUGAUCCUGGCUCAGAACGAACGCUGGCGGCGUGGCUAAGACAUGCAAGUCGAACGGAUUAUCCAAUUGAGUAAUCAAGAGGAUGGUUAGUGGCGGAAGGAUGAGUAAUGCAUAGAUAACGUACCCUGGUCUCCGGGAUAGCUGCGGUCGAAAGACCUUUAGCGAAAGUGCAGGUAAUACCGGAUAAAAUCCUUAGGUCGCAUGGCCUGAGGAUCAAAGGAUUUUCGGACCUGGUCUGGGAGCGGUUUAUGUCGUAUCUGCUAGUUGGUGAGAUAACGGCUCACCAAGGCUUUGACGCGUAGCGGGACUGAGAGGUCGGCCCGCCAUAUCGGGACUGAGACACUGCCCGGACCUCCACGGAGGGCUGCAGUAACGAAUAUUGCGCAAUGGGCGAAAGCCUGACGCAGCGACGCCGCGUGUAGGAUGAAGUCCCUCGGGAUGUAAACUACUGUCAGAGUGAAGAAAGACGAAAGUUUGAUCGAUCUCAAAGGAAGGCCCGGCUAACUUCGUGCCAGCAGCCGCGGUAAUACGAAGGGGCCUAGCGUUGUUCGGAAUUACUGGGCUUAAAGCGCACGUAGGCGGAAAGUUAAGUGCUUUGUGAAAUCCCCCGUCUCAACCGGGGAAUUGCAGGGCAUACUGGCUUUCUUGAGGCAAGUAGGGGUGCAUGGAACUCUAGGUGGAGCGGUGAAAUGCGUAGAUAUCUAGAGGAACGCCAGCGGAGAAAUCGGUGCACUGGGCUUGUUCUGACGCUGAGGUGCGAAAGCGUGGGGAGCGAACGGGAUUAGAUACCCCGGUAGUCCACGCUGUAAACGAUGUCUACUAGAUCGUGGAAGUUCUGACACUUUCGCGGUCGAAGCAAAAGUGUUAAGUAGACCGCCUGGGGAGUACGGUCGCAAGGCUAAAACUCAAAGGAAUUGACGGGGGCUCACACAAGCGGUGGAGCAUGUGGCUUAAUUCGAAGCAACGCGAAGAACCUUAUCCAAGGCUUGACAUAUUCGGAUGCCUGCCCUGAAAGGGUGCAGGUUGCCUUCGGGUGAAACUUAUACAGGUGCUGCAUGGCUGUCGUCAGCUCGUGUCGUGAGAUGUCGGGUUAAGUCCUAUAACGAGCGAAACCCCUAUCGUUAGUUGCCAGCGGGUCAUGCCGGGGACUCUAACGAGACCGCCGGUGUUAAACCGGAGGAAGGCGGGGAUGACGUCAAGUCCUCAUGGCCUUUAUGCCUUGGGCUGCACACGUGCUACAAUGGCGUGCACAAAACGAUGCGAUACCGUGAGGUGGAGCAAAUCGUAAAAAACACGCCCCAGUUCGGAUUGUAGGCUGCAACUCGCCUACAUGAAGUUGGAAUCGCUAGUAAUCGCAGAUCAGCUAUGCUGCGGUGAAUGUGUUCCUGAGCCUUGUACACACCGCCCGUCAAGUCAUGGGAGCCGGGAGUACCUGAAGUCGGGUAGCUAACUCGCAAGAGAGGCGCCUGCCGAUGGUAAGCUCGGUGACUGGGGCUAAGUCGUAACAAGGUAAC